rnacentral:rRNA from 1 species
ACAAGCGGAGGAGCAUGUGGUUAAUUCGAUGAUACGCGAGGAACCUUACCUGGGCUCGAACGUAAGAUGACUGUAGGUGAAAGCUUACAUCUCUUCGGAGCAUUUUACGAGGUGCUGCAUGGUUGUCGUCAGCUCGUGCCGUGAGGUGUCGGGUUAAGUCCCAUAACGAGCGCAACCCUACCUUUAGUUGCCAUCAGGUAAUGCUGGGGACUCUAAAGGAACUGCCUACGCAAGUAGUGAGGAAGCGGGGAUGACGUCAAAUCAGCACGGCCCUUACGUCCAGGGCUACACACGUGCUACAAUGGCCGAUACAGAGGGCAGCUACCUGGUGACAGGAUGCAAAUCUCCAAAGUCGGUCUCAGUUCGGAUCGGAGUCUGCAACCCGACUCCGUGAAGUUGGAUUCGCUAGUAAUCGCGCAUCAGCCAUGGCGCGGUGAAUACGUUCCCGGGCCUU